rnacentral:rRNA from 1 species
AACGAACGCUGGCGGCAGGCCUAACACAUGCAAGUCGAGCGCCCUUUCGGGGGAGCGGCGGACGGGUGAGUAACGCGUGGGAAUAUUCCCUUCUCUACGGAAUAGCCUCGGGAAACUGAGAGUAAUACCGUAUACGCCCUGUGGGGGAAAGAUUUAUCGGGGAAGGAUUAGCCCGCGUUGGAUUAGGUAGUUGGUGGGGUAAUGGCCUACCAAGCCGACGAUCCAUAGCUGGUUUGAGAGGAUGAUCAGCCACACUGGGACUGAGACACGGCCCAGACUCCUACGGGAGGCAGCAGUGGGGAAUCUUAGACAAUGGGGGCAACCCUGAUCUAGCCAUGCCGCGUGAGUGAUGAAGGCCUUAGGGUUGUAAAGCUCUUUCAGCUGGGAAGAUAAUGACGGUACCAGCAGAAGAAGCCCCGGCUAACUCCGUG